AGGUUACUGCUAUCGGUGUUCGCCUAAGCCAUGCGUGUCAUAUGUUCGUAAGAACAUGGCGUACUGCUCAGUAACACGUGGAUAACCUGCCCUUGGGUCCGGCAUAACCCCGGGAAACUGGGGAUAAUUCCGGAUAACGCACAUAUGCUGGAAUGCUUUAUGCGUGAAAUGGAUUCGUCUGCCCAAGGAUGGGUCUGCGGCCUCUCAGGUAGUAGUGGGUGUAAUGUACCUACUAGCCUACGACGGGUACGGGUUGUGAGAGCAAGAGCCCGGAGAUGGAUUCUGAGACAUGAAUCCAGGCCCUACGGGGCGCAGCAGGCGCGAAAACUUUACAAUGCGGGAAACCGUGAUAAGGGGACACCGAGUGCCAGCAUCCUAUGCUGGCUGUCCGGGUGUGUAAAAUACACCUGUUAGCAAGGGCCGGGCAAGACCGGUGCCAGCCGCCGCGGUAACACCGACGGCCCGAGUGGUGAUCGUGAUUAUUGGGUCUAAAGGGUCCGUAGCCGGUUUGGUCAGUCCUCCGGGAAAUCUGACAGCUUAACUGUUAGGCUUUCGGAGGAUACUGCCAGACUUGGAACCGGGAGAGGUAAGAGGUACUACAGGGGUAGGAGUGAAAUCUUGUAAUCCCUGUGGGACCACCUGUGGCGAAGGCGUCUUACCAGAACGGGUUCGACGGUGAGGGACGAAAGCUGGGGGCACGAACCGGAUUAGAUACCCGGGUAGUCCCAGCCGUAAACGAUGCUCGCUAGGUGUCAGGCAUGGCGCGACCGUGUCUGGUGCCGCAGGGAAGCUGUGAAGCGAGCCACCUGGGAAGUACGGCCGCAAGGCUGAAACUUAA
rnacentral:rRNA from 1 species